CCCAGCUUGAACCCAGAGACCAUUCAGUCAGUGAGCAGAUGAAAACAACUGCUGGAGAGGCGAGGAUGGGCAGUAAUUACAACCCCUGCUCAUUGCUCAACAGCAAGUAUCUGGAGUUCACUGUUCCAGUGAGCCUGGUGGGCCAGCAACCGCUGGGAUCUGCUCUUUCCCUCAUAGCCCUGGAGCUGCAGGGGUGCUCUGCUCCUAGUUUUCAUUGAGAGUGUCGGAGAUCUACACUCGGGUCCUCACCCCUGCACAGCAGGAAAACUCUUCAAGCAGGGAGAUAAACAACCCAAAACAGCUUCAGAAAACCUCUGAAACAGCGUCUUCACUAGGCUUCUCCCUCUCAGAGAAGCCAAGCUGCAAAGAAGAUUCUGAGAC